AAGUGAAGAAGGAGAAGGUGAAGAAGGAGAAGGAGAAGAAGGUGAAGAAGAAGAAGAAAGUGAAGAAGGAGAAGGAGAAGAAAGUGAAGAAGGAGAAAGUGAAGAAGGAGAAGGAGAAGAAGGCCCAGCCUCCACCCUAAGACCUCCAUCUUGCUCCCUAUAUAUCACUAAACUAAAACCCCAAACUCGGAGUUUCCCACCCUGUGACAUCACACGCCUCUCUCCAAACUCCACCCCCACAAUCCCAGUUCCACCAUUCCAUCCUGGGAGCUUCUCCCCGGCCCCAGAGGAAGCUUCUUCCCGUGCCUUCAAUUCAGAAUGGGAAACCCCAGCCAAGCUUUUCCUCCUGGGGCUGCCCCAGGCCAGCAAUGACUUCCAAGGACCUGAGAAUGAGAAAUAAAGGGAUGAAAGCGCCCAGGCAGCCCCGCAGCUGGGUGUGGAAGGACAAUCCUCCCUCAGUUUCCCUGGAAUUCACAGCGCCUCAGGGGCGUUUCUGGGCUGAGCAGGAAGCUCAGCAGGGCCCUGGGGCAGAUCCCCACCAGGAUGAGUCUGGAAUUCCUCACCG